AUUGAACGCUGGCGGCAGGCCUAACACAUGCAGUCGAGCGGAUGAAGGGAGCUUGCUCCUGGAUUCAGCGGCGGACGGGUGGGUAAUGCCUAGGAAUCUGCCUGGUAGUGGGGGAUAACGUCCGUAAACGGGCGCUAAUACCGCAUACGUCCUGAGGGAGAAAGAGGGGGAUCUUCGGACCUCACGCUAUCCGAUGAGCCUAGUUCGGAUUAGCUAGUUGGUGGGGUAAAGGCCUACCAAGGCGACGAUCCGUAACUGGUCUGAGAGGAUGAUCAGUCACCCUGGAACUGAGCCACGGUCCAGACUCCUAGGGGAGGCAGCAGUGGGGAAUAUUGGGCAAUGGGGGAGAGCCUGAUCCAGGCAUGCCGCGUGUGUGAAGAAGGUCUUCGGAUUGUAAAGCACUUUAAGUUGGGAGGAAGGGCAGUAAGUUAAUACCUUGCUGUUUUGACGUUACCAACAGAAUAAGCACCGGCUAACUUCGUGC
rnacentral:rRNA from 1 species